rnacentral:rRNA from 1 species
CGGGUGAGUAACACGUGAGUAACCUGCCCUUGACUCUGGGAUAAGCCUGGGAAACUGGGUCUAAUACCGGAUACGACCAUCUGACGCAUGUCAUGGUGGUGGAAAGCUUUUGUGGUUUUGGAUGGACUCGCGGCCUAUCAGCUUGUUGGUGGGGUAAUGGCCUACCAAGGCGACGACGGGUAGCCGGCCUGAGAGGGUGACCGGCCACACUGGGACUGAGACACGGCCCAGACUCCUACGGGAGGCAGCAGUGGGGAAUAUUGCACAAUGGGCGCAAGCCUGAUGCAGCGACGCCGCGUGAGGGAUGACGGCCUUCGGGUUGUAAACCUCUUUCAGUAGGGAAGAAGCGAAAGUGACGGUACCUGCAGAAGAAGCGCCGGCUAACUACGUGCCAGCAGCCGCGGUAAUACGUAGGGCGCAAGCGUUAUCCGGAAUUAUUGGGCGUAAAGAGCUCGUAGGCGGUUUGUCGCGUCUGCUGUGAAAGACCGGGGCUCAACUCCGGUUCUGCAGUGGGUACGGGCAGACUAGAGUGCAGUAGGGGAGACUGGAAUUCCUGGUGUAGCGGUGAAAUGCGCAGAUAUCAGGAGGAACACCGAUGGCGAAGGCAGGUCUCUGGGCUGUAACUGACGCUGAGGAGCGAAAGCAUGGGGAGCGAACAGGAUUAGAUACCCUGGUAGUCCAUGCCGUAAACGUUGGGCACUAGGUGUGGGGGACAUUCCACGUUUUCCGCGCCGUAGCUAACGCAUUAAGUGCCCCGCCUGGGGAGUACGGCCGCAAGGCUAAAACUCAAAGGAAUUGACGGGGGCCCGCACAAGCGGCGGAGCAUGCGGAUUAAUUCGAUGCAACGCGAAGAACCUUACCAAGGCUUGACAUGAACCGGAAAGACCUGGAAACAGGUGCCCCGCUUGCGGUCGGUUUACAGGUGGUGCAUGGUUGUCGUCAGCUCGUGUCGUGAGAUGUUGGGUUAAGUCCCGCAACGAGCGCAACCCUCGUUCUAUGUUGCCAGCGCGUUAUGGCGGGGACUCAUAGGAGACUGCCGGGGUCAACUCGGAGGAAGGUGGGGACGACGUCAAAUCAUCAUGCCCCUUAUGUCUUGGGCUUCACGCAUGCUACAAUGGCCGGUACAAAGGGUUGCGAUACUGUGAGGUGGAGCUAAUCCCAAAAAGCCGGUCUCAGUUCGGAUUGGGGUCUGCAACUCGACCCCAUGAAGUCGGAGUCGCUAGUAAUCGCAGAUCAGCAACGCUGCGGUGAAUACGUUCCCGGGCCUUGUACACACCGCCCGUCAAGUCACGAAAGUUGGUAA